rnacentral:rRNA from 1 species
UACGAAGGGUGCAAGCGUUGCUCGGAAUUAUUGGGCGUAAAGGGUAGGUAGGUGGUAAUAAAAGUCUGGGGUGAAAUCCCUGAGCUCAACUCAGGACGUGCCUUGGAAACUUUAUUACUAGAGUGCUGGAGAGGUCCGCAGAAUUCCCGGUGUAGCGGUGAAAUGCGUAGAGAUCGGGAGGAAUACCAGAGGCGAAGGCGGCGGACUGGACAGUCACUGACACUGAGGCACGAAAGCGUGGGGAGCAAACAGG